rnacentral:rRNA from 1 species
UACGGAGGGUGCAAGCGUUAUCCGGAUUCACUGGGUUUAAAGGGUGCGUAGGCGGGCAAGUAAGUCAGUGGUGAAAUCUCCGGGCUUAACCCGGAAACUGCCAUUGAUACUAUUUGUCUUGAAUACUGUGGAGGUCAGCGGAAUAUGUCAUGUAGCGGUGAAAUGCUUAGAUAUGACAUAGAACACCAAUUGCGAAGGCAGCUGGCUACACGAAUAUUGACACUGAUGCACGAAAGCGUGGGGAUCAAACAGG